ACUGAACCCACAGCAUGGAAAGUGCUUUGGAAUGACACGAUCACUCCCGUUGAGUGGGCACCCAAGAAGCCAUCGGGAAUAUCGUGUCCGCCCAGUGCUCUUUCGGCACCUCCCAAACAGGGC
rnacentral:pre_miRNA from 14 species